rfam:Triticum aestivum genome assembly, contig: Triticum_aestivum_CS42_TGACv1_scaffold_271964_3DS
GCUCAGUUGGUAGAGGACAAGACUGUUAACCUUGGGGACGUGGGUUCAAGCCCCAU